rnacentral:rRNA from 1 species
GACGUAGGGGGCCAGCGUUGCUCGGAAUUACUGGGCGUAAAGGGUCCGUAGGCGGUGCGGUAAGUCGGGAGUGAAAGUCUCUGGGCUUAACUCAGAGGCUGCUUCCGAAACUACCGUGCUAGAGUGCGAGGAGAGGCAAGUGGAAUUGCGGGUGUAGCGGUGAAAUGCGUAGAUAUCCGCAGGAACAUCCGAGGCGAAAGCGGCUUGCUGGAUCGCAACUGACGCUGAGGGACGAAAGCUAGGGGAGCAAACAGG